UUUUAACUGGUUUAUUUUCACUUAACUGAGAAGCUGUUUUUCUUGGUGAUUUUGAUGCUCUCUUUCGGUGCCCAGACUUGGAACUAGAUCUGGACUUUGAUCUACUUCGAGAAUGUGAUGAGGACUUUGACGCAGUCCUUGAUCUUGAGCUUCCUCUAGAAUAAGACUGUGAGUGAGAUUUUGAUCUGUAUGAGUCUCUGCUGGAAUGGGUUAAAGAGCUCUGGACAUCCUUAUCAGAUUUAGACCAGUCUCUCUUUGAUGAGUGAUGAGAUGACAAUGAGGAAGAACGAGAACUCCUUUCUCUAUCACAAGAGGAUUUCAUUCUUCGAGUGGAAGAUUUUGAGGAUUCUAUGUCAGACGGAAAAUGUUUUUGAAAAGCAAACCAACUAAUC
rnacentral:lncRNA from 1 species